rnacentral:rRNA from 1 species
GAUGAACGCUAGCUACAGGCUUAACACGUGCAAGUCGAGGGGCAGCAUGUUGGUUGCUUGCAACCAACGAUGGCGACCGGCGCACGGGUGAGUAACGCGUAUCCAACCUGCCCUUGUCCAUCGGAUAACCCGUCGAAAGGCGGACUAACACGAUAUGCAGUCCACAGCAGGCAUCUAACGUGGACGAAAUGUGAAGGAGAAGGAUGGGGAUGCGUCUGAUUAGCUUGUUGGCGGGGUAACGGCCCACCAAGGCGACGAUCAGUAGGGGUUCUGAGAGGAAGGUCCCCCACAUUGGAACGGAGACACGGUCCAAACUCCUACGGGAGGCAGCAGUGAGGAAUAUUGGUCAAUGGGCGAGAGCCUGAACCAGCCAAGUAGCGUGCAGGAUGACGGCCCUAUGGGUUGUAAACUGCUUUUAUACGGGGAUAAAGUGAGCCACGUGUGGCUUAUUGCAGGUACCGUAUGAAUAAGGACCGGCUAAUUCCGUGCCAGCCGCCGCGGUAAAAC